GUUACUGACGCUUAAGCUCGAAGGUGCGGGUAUCGAACAGGAUUAGAUACCCUGGUAGUCCGCACAGUAAACGAUGGAUGUCCGCCGUUGGCGCCCUGCGCCUGCGGCCAAGCGAAAGCAUUAAGCAUCCCACCUGGGGAGUACGCCGGCAACGGUGAAACUCAAAGGAAUUGACGGGGGCCCGCACAAGCGGAGGAACAUGUGGUUUAAUUCGAUGAUACGCGAGGAACCUUACCCGGGCUUGAAUUGCAGUCGCUGCCCACAGAGACGUGGGCUUCCCUUCGGGGCGUCUGUGAAGGUGCUGCAUGGUUGUCGUCAGCUCGUGCCGUGAGGUGUCGGCUUAAGUGCCAUACCGAGCGCAACCCCCUUUCCCAGUUGCCAUCGGGUGAUGCCGGGCACUCUGGGGACACUGCCAGCGCAAGGUGCGAGGAAGGUGGGGAUGCCGUCAAAUCAGCACGGCCCUUACGUCCGGGGCUACACACGUGUUACAAUGGCCGGUACAGAGGGACGGUGCAAUGCAAGUUGCAUCCAAUCUUGAAAUACGGUCCCAGUUCGGACUGGGGUCUGCAACCCGACCCCACGAAGCUGGAUUCGCUAGUAAUCGCGCAUCAGCCAUGGCGCGGUGAAUACGUUCCCGGGCCUUGUACACUCCGCCCGUCAAGCCAUGAAAGCCGGGGGUGCCUGAAGUUC
rnacentral:rRNA from 1 species